AACUAACAAUGUUUUUUAUAUUUUUCCUGCAGGUGGGGAUGAAAAAUACUGCAACUGUACAGCAGAAUUUCCUUUGAGCAGUCAGCAACAUUUAUUACAACCUGUUUUCUUACCAGCUUUGUAAGAAGGUUCACGCAAUGCAUUAAGAAUUACAAUGAUGCCUCUGGAAGAACUCUGUGGAAAAGAUGGAAAGGAAAACAAGAUUCCCAUUAAGGAAACAGCAGGGCCUUCACUACCAUUGAACUACAACUUCAUCCUGGACUGUUGCAGCAACUUGACUUCAACAUGCUUCAUCAACUCAUACCAAUUUCUGGCCUUGUGACUCACCACACCUUCGGUGAAAGCUUGUCGAGCGACUUGUUCAUCCACAUUUCUACGCAUGAUGCUAAGUAUAUUUGUUCUAAAUUUUGAGCCACACCACAGUUAAGUUAAACUUUUCAAAUUUCUAUUUUCUUUAACUAAAUCUAGUCUCUUUGUUUAGUAUUUUGCCCUGUAUUUUGGGCACAUCAGAACAGCCAAUUUGCUUGAUUUUUAUUUUCUGAUUUGUGGAAUAUCACUAAAUCCUUGGAAAUGCUCAUUGCUUUGAGGAUCGCUUUGAAUAGUCAGUGUGUCGUAGUCAAUCCCUUUCCCUUAGUGGAAGUGGAGCCAUUGCAAAUGUAAGAAAAGUAAUGAUUUUAUUUUGAAUUCGUUUUGUCAACUUAGGGGUUCACUCAUCCUCCUGGGAUAACUUCGACCAUGGUGCUGAUUCAGUAUUGCGGUCGACGCACAUACCCUAAUAGAUUUUCCAGAUAGUUGGUAGUUUAUGUUGGGUCACUGCUGACUGAGCACGGCUGGUUAAGGUUUUCUCACGAGUCUGUGUGUUCAUGUAGAUUAUGCAUUGUGACAGGAAAAGGACCCUGUGGUAGGAAAGCUGUGUUGAUUGUCACGGUUUUAUGUGACUAAUACUAAGGAGGUGUUCUGUUACAAAUUUAAUACGUCAGGGUAAUGUUAAUAGAAAAAGCAUUAUAAAAACACUGCAAGUCAAACAAUAGUUAUUGUUAUCAAACAAUAGCUAUUGAUUGAAAUGCAAGUGUUUCUUGUAAUGCUUUUUCGCAGAGGCCACAUCAGUUAUGUUUCAGAUUAACAACAGCCAUUUCAGUCCAGGUCUUGCGGACAUGGUCACCAACCACAACGGGCUGGCGCUUGGCAGCAGACUUCGCAAGAACUACUUGAAGAGACAGAUACAUGGAGGGAGGGAGGAGACAAGGGGUGGGUUGAAUGAGAGUGUGUGUGCGUGCGUUUGUUGUGUGGUGUUUUGAUGGAUGUGUUGGUUUGGAUGGGUCGUCCUGCGCCACGUUAUGGGUCUGCAUGAUCCAGGAGGGCAUGCGUAGUAAUACGAAGCAGAGCACAUCUGUUUACGUAAUAUAUUCCGAGCGUUAGGUUGAAUGCUUAGUCUGAGGUGCUUAGGUCUUUACGUUAUUGAAAAUGAAGGCAAGCCUUAAGCCUUGAAACGCCUCAACCUGCGGGGGCGUAGCGAAGCGGGAUCCGGGGGCCUCACAGCGUUGGAGGCUUUGCGACCCGGUGCCCCGCGAGGGCUGCGCACCCUGCCUUGGUUUGAGCUGUCGGCCGGCGUCGCGUGCCAAGCGUGUGACGUAGCAACAUACGGUAGUGAUAACUGUCAGGCAUCCCCCUCCGAGUAAAUUAGGCCCUUUUCGCUAAAAGCCGUCUUGGACGGCCUCAUGCAUGACAUGUCGCACGCUUUCGGGCGUGGGCGUUGACAAGGCGAUCCUGGUCGCGUUGUUCUCCUGCGACGCUAGGCUCCACGCAGCCUGUCUUGUUGGCGCUUUCCAAUCGAUAGCUUUUCGCGAAAGGGCCUACCCUACCAGUCCGCAAAGGGCGCCGGGGCGCUGCAUGCUGCAUGUACCCGCGGGGCGUAGCGGAGCGGGAUCCGGGGGCUUCGUUGCGUUGGAGGCUUUGCGACCCGGUGCCCCGCGAGUGCUGCGCACCCUGCCUUGGGUUGACCUGCCCUGGCGCCGCACCAAUGCAGCGCUUGGCCGAUGUCGCGUUCCGUGCGUGUGACGGUACGGGAUCCAGACAGCGAUGACUUCGAGUCGUCGCCCCCUCCGACAGCGGGGAGGGCUCGGUGGCGCCGCCGGCUGUCUCGGAUCUUGCCAACGCGCGGCCUCUUGGUGGCUCAGUUGUUCAGUUGUUAGUGCUCCAUCGAUCUGGCGUGUUUGUGGAACUGCCUCAAACUGCCUUUUUACCUCGAAACUGCCGUCUCUUUUCCCCUUUUUACCCAACUAUCCUCUCCUAUCCUGUCGUUUCUCGACCCAGGUUUUUUUUAGUGAGUGGGACUCUCACACUACCCGCUGCCUCCAGGGGUCCAGCGUGUGUCCUCUGCGGGGCCCGGGUGCCUAAGGCCGGAGUAGCUUGCUCUUCAAGCUUGCCGCUCGGAGGGCAGUGUCAACGAUAUCAUGGCACUGUAACUUCCCUUUCAGCGGUCGCAGGUUUUUUUCCUGGUAGGUCGGAGUGCCAAAUUAAAAAAAAAAAAAAAAAAAAUCUUUAUGCACAGGCAACAUGCAACCUUUUCCCAGUAAAUAUAAAGUAAACGGGAUGAGUUGUGCAUUGUUGCGAUGAAGUACUCGGUUCUCUUGGAGUCAAUUUGGGGGGUAGCCCAAGUCGGAACUAAGCAAUUCCUCCCGAACGCCGCGUAACGCUAGAGCGGUGUAGCUCAAUCGUGGCUUCCCUGCUGUUGGGAGCGCAUGGUACUCGAUACUCGUAAUGGCUCUCCUGCUAGUCGGAUGGAUGUCGGAACUCAUUUCCGUACGUGCCAGAGACGAAAUCUUUACAAUUGUAGAUUGCUGGCCGUGCAUUCCGACUUAAUUUUGUAUGAUACGUAAAGUCCUGCUGUGUUUUUACAAUCAUAUGUAUAUGGUGCUGAAAUUGAAAAAUAAAGUGUUACUUAUUAUCGACUUACUCUCCUAACUUACCCUCUCAUCAUGACACUUGGAAAUAUUUGCUUUAGUUGAAAGUAUAUACUGUUGUUAAGACAGGUAAUAAGUAAACUUACAAGGGCAAACGGAACCUUACGGUACACUGUCAUGGGCCUGCUCUCUAUGGCUCGCAAGAAGUUUAUUUCGCCGAAAACUGUGCACUUGUGUAGCUUAAAACGAUCUAACUCGUUUAACAGCUCUCAUGGCUACUGAAAAGCACACUGCAGGCUGUAGU